rnacentral:lncRNA from 1 species
ACGUUCAACAAUCUACACAAAGUUUUUCACUUGAUCAACAACGAGAUGAGAAAGGUCUAUAAAUAACAACAAUUCAUGCCCCGAACUGCUAAAAGGUGUUAAUAUUACAAGAUCUAGGUCUAAGACAUCAAUUGCAAGUUGUCCAUUUCUCUCUGAUGGAACAACAAUACUUGUUCUCGGCUAAAAGCUUAUGGUUUUCUUACACAAAAUACAUUUUUAGAGGAACUAAAUAUUACAGUCUUAAUUUGAACUAAGUUCACAUGUUUAUGAGCUUGCUUCUGGGAAAAUCAAUCACACAAAAAUUAAUUUACCAGUCAGAGCUUUGUUUCCGUUUUGUCCGAGUCCAUUUACUUUUGUACGGCGUCUGAGAUUCACCGGAGUGCGUCAGCGAUUCACUGGAGUGCAUCAGCGCUUUACCGGAGUGCCACAGAGAGGGUCUAAGCUUCAACGGAGUGCGUCAGAGAGGGUCUUACCUUCACUGGAAUGCGUUAGCGCUUCACUAGAGUGUGUAAGAGAGGGUCAGAGCUUCACCGGAGUGCGUCUGCUGGUCACCGGAGUGUUGUGGAGUAUGUCAAACCCCUAGAUCUAGAUCUCGUGUUUCCAAAAUAAAGAAGAGUAAAAUGAGGUAAUCAGUUUGUACAGUGCUCAAAUUCUCCUAAAAACUACCCUAGUAGCAAGAAGUGACCUACACUGUAAUUAAAACUUAAAAAAUGACCCUAAAUGAAAAAAAAAAACCGGAGGGUUGCUGACACUUAAGCUAAUCUUCAGUAAACAAAAAGUAAUAUUUUCUUAUCUAACAUUUUGAUGUGUAUUUCGACCACUAUGUCACGGCUAAGACCCAGAGACGUAGAGACGUGUUAUUGUCUUUUAUUUCGUAGAUGUUAUUUUGUCUUUUAAGAGAUGUAUUUUGUGGAAGUCCUUUUGGUCCAAUGGUUUGACCAAUGAUUCAUUAAUGAUUCUACAUCAGGAAGUCUGGGUUUCAAUUCCUGAAAAAGACAGAAUUAUGCGAAUUAAGGGAGAAAAAUGCUUACAAGAGAUCUGCAGCAUGGCGCAAUGAGUACUGUCAAGCGUGAAUCCCAUAGGGC